GUGGUUUACAUUUUCUUCAAGAGGGGCAAUUUCUCCUCGAAGUGCCUGCAGGAAAUAAUCCAGGACAAGUUGGAAAAUGUAAAUGCUGAAAGUAUAUAGUUUAUUAUAACAAUGAAGAAAAGAGGACAUCCAGAUGGCACAGCAGAUAGCAUAUUGGUCAGAAGUGAGGAAGACAGAGAAAAAUCAGAACAAAAGGGGAAAAUCAUGAGAGAAAAAAAAGCAGAAGAAAAAGAAAAAAGAAAUGAACAUAGCAUGUUUCUCUCUGUGAGGGAUCCCAACAAUAUAUGCCAACUUUGACGUCCUAACAAGGAAGAUUUCUAGUUGAAGAUGACAGAGCUACAAAUGUUGGAAGAAUUUAGUUCCUGGGGCUAGUCAUUUGGUAAUGUUCCUUAAUGAUUUACAAAUGAGUUUCAAAACAUUAAUAUUUAGGCCAAAAACUAA